GAGGGUGCAGCUCAGCAGUAGAGCACGUGCUUAGCAUGCACGAGGUCCUGGGUUCAACCCCCAGUACCUCCA
rnacentral:tRNA from 1 species